GACAGAUCAAAAACUGUCAUAUCUGGACGAGAUGCAGGGGAUGGAUUCAGUUGGAAAGAGACGAGGAAUUCAGUGGAACUCCAUGUCCCAACCGAGCAUCUCCUCCUGAACAUCCAAAAUAGAGGAUUCGGCAUCUUAGUGCAGGUUUUUCGCUGCACAUGGGCUUAUUGAAUUAGAGAGGAACUUCCCCAUCGUAUAUUCCCGGGACCUCUUCCAGGGUGGUGCACAUGGAGGUUUGCCUUUCUAAGCAACUGGAGAAGUGGGAGCAGGAUUCCUCGGAGGCGAAGCUCACAGAUGUACAUGUGGACAGCAAACAGGUGAAUUUCUGCAUCUUGUUUUCAUGCUUGUGCUCUUCAUUUACUCUUCACGCUUCGAUUCCCAUUCUGCUCGCAUGGAUUUAACAAAAGUUUACUCUUUUCUUUUUUCUUUUUUUCUUUUUUUCUUGAUAGAAAUGGUGUCUGAUAGCUGCGUACAGGAAGGAGACCUUCGAUCCGAAUGGGUUUUUUGUCCAGGUUUCUUUGUUGAAGAUUAACAAAACAACACAAAACGAAGUUAUUGUGAGGCAGUGUGUUCUAUCUGUGGGUAAUUCCUGAAGGGUUGGAAUUAUUGCAAAUUAAUGAGUAUUAAACAUUGUAUGAAAUGAAAGUAAUUUGUUAGGUUAUAUCAAACACGUAAAUAUUUGAUUGUGCACCACCAGAAUACGUAUCUUCACAUCAAUAGAGUUAGCACACGAUGACACACAAACCUUAAGUUGUGUCAACGCUACCACACAUUUGUAGAGAUACAGAGUGUACGAUUGCGGCCGGGUCUAACAAAUUACUUCGGUAAGUGGAUGUGGACAAAAUGUAAGUCGUCAGAGAAUCCUUGGCACACAAACACAUGAUGGUGCUAGUAGUGACGCAAGGACACAAACAAACAAGAAAUGAUCCAUGUUUACGUGAUACUUAGAGUCGACGAGUAAUAAGUAAGUUUCUUAAAUCAGUGAAGUUCGAUAACCAUUGUUUCAGAGUGCAACUGCGCAGGCUCACCAGCUACAACGCCCGUGCGGGCAACUAAAACUCGCAACCCUACGCAAACCAUCCAGAAGCAGCCAUGUCUACUGACUCUUGACGUACUCCCUCACGAUAUUAAGUCCCUCGGUUUCUUCACCGUAAUCCUUCACCACUACGCAGGAGCAUCCAACAACCUUGCGAGCCUUUCCCUCGGAGUCGAUCUUGCAGAGACCAGCCCAUUCACCGAGCUUCUUGGCGCUGGGGACAGAGAUAAGGUUCACGUUGUGCUCCUGGCACAAAGCCUGCACAAGCUUGGUGUAGUCAGGCUGGUUGCAGUCCUCGGCGAGCACGCACAGCUGAGCGGCGUGCUUCUCGAUGGCCUUGGCGCUUUCGUGAAGACCCUUGGCGAGGCCGUCGUGAGCGAGCGCCUUCUUCAAAACGAUCUGCAACCCUGUGAGGAUGUCCAUGGGCUCCCCGAGCGCGGGCUCUGCGGCGGCCGUCGCCUCAGCUGGGGCGUCGGCCAUCACCUCCUCAUUGUCAGCCAUAGCGAAGCAGAGAUCGACAAACGAGUCAAAAAGUUGGGGUUAGGGUUAG
rnacentral:lncRNA from 1 species